rnacentral:rRNA from 1 species
ACGCUCGACACCUACGGGAGUCAGCAGUGGGGAAUAUUGCACAAUGGGGGAAACCCUGAUGCAGCGACGCCGCGUGAAGGAAGAAGUAUCUCGGUAUGUAAACUUCUAUCAGCAGGGAAGAAAAUGACGGUACCUGACUAAGAAGCCCCGGCUAACUACGUGCCAGGAGCCGCGGUAAUCUGAGCGGGCUGGCAAGGC